GUGGAAAUAAAAUAAAAAACACAGGAGUGAAUCACUUAUGUGACAUACUGAAGGAUUCACACUGUAAACUGGAGAAACUGAGUCUGAAUGACUGUGGCAUUACAGAUGUUGCUUGUCUGGCUCAGUCUUUGACAAACACGAAAGCACUGCAGUUUUUAAAAGAGCUUGAUCUGAGGAACAAUAACAUAGGAGUCUCAAAGGAGCAACUCAGAGAUGUGCUACGAGACUCAAACUGUAAACUUGAGGUGAACUAGAGGAAGAUGUGAAUUAGCAGG